rnacentral:miRNA from 1 species
GCGAGCCUGGGGGCGGGGAGA